UGAGUUUCAGAGAGUAAUGCUUAACCCC
rnacentral:piRNA from 1 species